rnacentral:rRNA from 1 species
GAUGAACGCUGGCGGCGUGCCUAAUACAUGCAAGUCGAGCGAACGGACGCGAAGUUUGCUUCUCUGAUGUUAGCGGCGGACGGGUGAGUAACACGUGGAUAACCUCCUUAUAAGACUGGGAUAACUUCGGGAAACCGGAGCUAAUACUGGAUAAUAUUUUGAACCGUAUGGUUCAAAAGUGAAAGACGGUCUUGCUGUCUCUUAUAGAUGGUUCCGCGCUGCAUUAGCUAGUUGGUAAGGUAACGGCUUACCAAGGCAACGAUGCGUAGCCGACCUGAGAGAGGGGUCGUCGACACGAGAGGUGAGACGCGGUCCGUGCUCCUGCGGGAGGCAGCAGAAGGGAAUCGUCGGCAAUGGGGGGAAACCUGACAAAGCAACGCCGCGUAAGUGGUGGAGAUCUUCGGUUCGGAAUACUCGCUUAUUGGGGAAGAACAGAUGUAUAAGUAGCUGUACACAGCUUGACGGUACCUAGUCAAGAAGCCACGGCUAACUACGUG